GAUGAACGCUGGCGGCGUGCCUAAUACAUGCAAGUCGAGCGAAAAGAUGAGGAGCUUGCUCCUCUGACGUUAGCGGCGCACGGGAGUGUAACACGUGUAUCACCUACCUAUAAUACUGGGAUAACUUCGGGAAACCGGAGCUAAUACCGGAUAAUCUCUUGAACCGCAUGGUUGAAUAGUGAAAGACGGUUUUGCUGUCACGUCUAGCUGGAUCCCGGCCGCUUUAGCUAGUUGUUAAGUUAACGGCUUACCACGGCAACGAUGCGUAGCCGACGUGAGGGGGUGAUAGGCGACACGGGAGCUGAGCCGCGGACCAUGCGCCUACGAGACGCAACAGAAGGGUACGGGCCGCAGUAGUCGAGAGCAUGACGGAGCAACGCGGCGCGAGUGGUGAAGGUCUUCGGUGCGUAAAACUCUGUUAUGAGGUAAGAACAAAUGUGUAAGUAACUAUGCACGUCUUGACGGUACCGAAUCAGAAAGCCACGGCUAACUACGUG
rnacentral:rRNA from 1 species